UCCCGAUUACUCGGGCAGUCUCCUCUGAAAAUCCAACAGAGGACGAGGGUUUCGCUCGUUCAAGGACUUAACCUCACAGCUCACGCCACGAGCUGACGACGACCGUGCAAUACCUGUCUUAGAGUUCCUUACGGCACAGCACUAUUUCUAGCGCCUUCUCUAGAUGUCAAACCCUGGAUAAGGUUUCUCGGUUAUUGUCGAAUUAAACCACAUGCUCCACCACUUGUGCGAGCCCCCGCCAAUUCUUUUGAGUUUUAGCCUUGCGGCCGUACUUCCCAGGCGGUCAACUUGACGCGUUAGCUUCGCAACAGAAAGGGUCGACUCUUCCUAUUGCUAGUUGACAUAGUUUACAGCGUGGACUA
rnacentral:misc_RNA from 1 species